rfam:Brachypodium distachyon strain Bd21 chromosome 3, whole genome shotgun sequence.
GCCCGUGAUUAGGACACAUCCUGAUCAAACCUUGAUAUCUUUGCCAAGCAUCAUGAAGGCUCUCUCCAUCAAACUGAAUGAAACGAGUGAUCUUAUCCCUGAACUC